AUCAUCAUCAGCAUCAUCAUCGUCAUCAUCAUUUUCACUAGGCCAUCAUAAAUUAUAGGAUAAAUAAUGUUUACUAGUAAGUUUAUAUUUAAUUGUGUUAUGUUGUAAUAAUAAAUAUAAUUUAUUAUUAUUUCUAUUCAUAUUUAUAAAGGAAAUGGACUACCGGUACGUAUCUUGAAUCUGAAAUAAACUGAGGUGAUAUAUAAGGAAAUGGACUACGUAUCUUGAAUCUGAAAUAAUCUAAGGUGAUAUAUAAGGAAAUGGACUACGUAUCUUGAAUCUGAAAUAAACUAAGGUGAUAUAUAAGGAAAUGGACUACGUAUCUUGAAUCUGAAAUAAUCUAAGGUGAUAUAUAAGGAAAUGGACUACGUAUCUUGAAUCCGAAAUAAACUAAGGUGAUAUAUAAGGAUCAUAUAAGAUGCCAUUGGAUAGUCAACCGCGGUGUAGCAGAGGAGCAACAUUAUUAUCUGUAACUGAGAAACAAAUCAAGGGUGGGUUGUGCCACGGCGGAUAGCCUCUCCCACUCACCAUAAAAAAGGAAAAAGAGAAACGAAAAGAAUGGAGAAGGAGGGUAGCUUAGUACAUUAAUAAUUUCAAUCCCAUGAACUAAUUUAUAUGAUAAGCAUUUUAAACAGAAACUGCUUUUUGCCAGGCAGAGGAUUAAUAAGAGUGAACCUUCUAAUUGUUAAUUUAUCUAAUUGGUAAUUCUACAAAAAGAAUUUAAAGAAUUAUAGAGAUUGUGUCUGCGGGCAAUAAAAUUUCCUUCUAGAUUACCUCAGAAUUGUGUUAGUUGAUGUGUUGUUAACUGUUGUUAGUUUUAUGUUUGUAAUUAAUGAAUGGGUGAGCUGCAAAGCUUGGUUUCCACACAGUCGCUCACCCUAAUAAUCAGGGGGCAUUGCUAGUUUCCCCAGCGCAAUCGGGGAAGGCACCCCUAAUCGUUUGCAACACAAUCGGCAAAGUUGAACCAGCUUCAAACCUCCUGACAACUUUCGGCAACUGUCGCGACGGUAGGAUGAGCAAUUGUAUUAUAACCGAGCCUCAGACUACCUGGGAAUAUGGCUAGAGGAGGGGUUACCUUGUAAAUGUCUCACAUCACAUUCCAGAUCUGAUAUUACCUAAGAUUUUAUGUUUUUUGUGGAUGGGGUAAAUUUCUGUACAUUGAUAUAAUUAUGUUUUUAGAAAGUGUUUUGCUAAUGCAUGAAGCUAAAAACGUUGCUGGGAG